rfam:Candida auris strain 6684 Scaffold28, whole genome shotgun sequence.
UAGUUUAUAUCUCAAAGGUAGAGAGAUCGAUUGAUAAUCGAUAGAUGUAAGUUCGAUUCUUACUAAACUAA